rnacentral:tRNA from 1 species
GUUAAGAUGGCAGAGUCCGGUAAUUGCAAAAGACCUAAGCCCUUUACACCAGAGGUUCAACUCCUCUUCUUAACU